GCCCACCCUUUGAUAACGGGAGCAUCCAUUCAGCCAGCAUAAACCGGCCUUGCUUGUUGCCACCAAGCAAGUCCUGUCUAUGGUGGACUGGGUACCAACGGAAGCGCAGACGACGACAAGCAAAUUUUACUUGCGUGGCGAGCUACAGGAGGGGGAGGUUUUUCAACUGAAACACAUUGUUUGCACAUAGGUAGGAGGCAUCUCAUCUCAGGACAAUUUGUAUGUUUAUUGUUAUUACAGAUAGGUACACACAAAGCAUAUGUAUGCUGGAUAGAUAUUCGGUGUGAGUUGUUGCAAUGCAAGAUUCAUCAUCUUAAUUUACGAGAUACGUGUGAUGGUCGAUGUGAUAGUCCUAGUUUCCUCGGUGGCGAGGAACGCUGAGUUUCCUUUUGCUGCAGUUAUGUGAUGUAUACCCUGAGAACUUUGGGGGUGAUAUGAUGGAUGUUUAUCAGUUUCAUGAUAAAUGAAAUUGGUAUGGAUUGUUUCUUCUUCAUUGAGGCAUGCAUGCAUUUAGCUGUUUUAUUUCAACGUUGUAGUAAUUGUUUGGCCUGUCUGGCGCCAAUGUAUUUUGCAGAGGCACUGGAGAUGUUGGCUCAGUGGUUAUCUUUCUUUCAGUUCUUUUGAGCUGCUGGCUGUGCAGAAACGGCUGCAGUGAAAAUAAGCUCUUGAAAAAGUUGUAGUAUACACUAGUUAUUUUCAGCUUCAGAGAUGUUUGGGAAGGCACCUUACCCCUAUAAACUCUCCACUGUCAAGGUCAUUCUGCAGCAAAAGUGUUCUUCACUCUGUUUUUCGUUGCAAGAUUCAGUCUCCAGACAGGUUUCCACACGUUUGCCUUUGAUCUCCACGGCCUGCAAUCUGCGGGGAAUCCAGCACAGGAAUGAAUGUAAGACGACGCCGUGGCAAAUAAACUGGGGGUUUCUCAAGAACAGAGAGCAGAGUGCGCGGCCUGAAUUUCUCAACUUGGCAAGAGCCAAAAGAACACUGGCGGAAUAAGCGUCCUCCGACCUCACCGCCGUCAACCUCAUGGCCGGCGCCGUCUCUGAGGUCGAAUGCCACCGUCCUUGGCGCCGGGUCGAACGCCACCGCCGUCGAGCGCACCCGCCUUUUGCUCUCUUGUCCCUCCGACCCACUCCCUAUCUAUCAUCAUGUCAGAAAUACAGUCAAACUGUCUGCAUCCAACGCCGAUUGUUUACCCCUUGCGCAGCUGCGCGACGCGCCAAUCGCAAACAUAAUAAACUACUUCCCCUCCGUCGACAAUGUCGAAUCACGUCACGCCCGCAUGGUCCAACCGCGGAUUCUUGUCGACUCCGGCAUCCUACACCAAUAACCAUCUACCAAAAGCUCCACGGUAAACAGCAGACGCCACAAGGACACAGUCACACAGAGGAGGUGGGUGCAGCCGAUGGCCGCGCAGCGCUCCGGCGCGGGGGGCGUGGCCGCCGGCGACGACGACGCGGACCGAGCCCGGCUGCGCCAGCUCGGCUACAAGCAGGAGCUCAAGCGCGGCCUCGGCGUGGUCUCCAACUUCGCCUUCUCCUUCUCCAUCAUCUGCGUCAUGGCCGGCGUCACCACCACGUACAACGCCGGCCUGAGGUACGGCGGGCCGGCGUCCAUGACCCUCGGCUGGCUGGUGGUGGCCUUCUUCAACGGCUGCGUCGCCCUGUCCAUGGCGGAGAUCUGCUCGGCCUACCCGACCUCCGGCGGGCUCUACUACUGGAGCGCCAAGCUCGCCGGCGAAGAGUGGGCGCCUCUUGCUUCCUGGAUCACCGGCUGGUGUGUGACUGUGUACUCUCUUACCUUAGUUUCAUCAUCAUGGGAUUUUCUCAUCUUUUUUUCAAGACUGUUUUCAGAUUAUUGACAUGGCAUCAUACUAUAUGAUUUGGUAAUUUGGUCCACAAUAUCUCUGAAGUCUAUAUCUUAAUAGUACAAUAUUGAAUUGCAUGCCAAAAGCUCGAGCAGACGGUGUGUGACUGUGUGUCUUACCUUAGUUGAGAUUUUUUGAUCAUUUUUAGAAGACUGUUUUUCGGAUUAUUGACAUGGAGUCAUGUGUGGAAACUAGUACACGAUUUGCCAGUUUGGUCGCCGAUAUCUAUGAGGUUUUUUUAAUAUAAAAUAUCAAUCAAUCAAUAUAUCUCAGUACAAUAUUGAAUGGUCAUCCCUAUGCCCCCACACCUUCUCUUCUUUCUCGGGCGCCGGCAGCCCCCCUCCCCCCUCAUUCCGUCCCGUCACCCUCUGACUCCCCUCCACUGGCAACACCGCUGCCGCGUUGUCUCCGGCUCGGUUUCGAAUCUACACCUCCCAUUCUCCCCGGAAUCAUCUUUUCCGAAUUGAAAAUGCAGACAACCUACACAUAGCAAACACGAUAUUGAAUUGCACGUCCAUUCAAAAGCUUGAGCCGACGUGAUAUGGUUUAACAAACGAUAGUCAUUAUUUAGUUCCACUUUUUGUGUUACUCCAACGAUCCAAUCACGUUGGUGGUCUAUGUUUUUAUCUCAUGUUCCAUUUUACCUUUUGCAGGUUCAACCUUGUGGGCCAGGUAUGCUCAAACAUGUUGGAGGUCUAUUUGGUUCAAAGCGGAUAUGAUGCACCCAUAUGACAAACCUCCUAACAAUCCGAUCUCUUGUCUAAACUCUUCUAGUGGGCUCUCACCACCAGCACGGACUUCUCGCUGGUGCAGCUUGUCCAAGUGAUCAUCUUGCUUGGCACCGGUGGAGCCAACGGUGGCGGCUACAUGGCCUCCAAGUACGUUGUUCUGGCCGUCCACGGCUCCCUCCUCGUCCUGCACGGGCUCAUCAACAGCCUCCCCAUCCGGUGGUUGUCCUGGUUCGGCCACCUCGGUGCAUUUUGGAACACUGCAGGUAUAUAAUCAUUCUGAGGGUUACGACAUUUGGCAUCAAUCGAUGCAGAGGUCGAGAGGGUCUUUUCUUCUUCAGAAGAUGAUGCAUUUGAACAUAUGACAAUGUGAUUAUCGAUCAACUUAUUGUUCUUCAACUUAGCAUAUGUUAACAAUGUUAGGUGCCUUUGUCCUGGUGAUCAUGAUUCCGGUUGUUGCCAAGGAAAGAGCGAGUGUUGAGUUCAUCUUUACACAUUUCAACACGGACAAUGGCAUGGGGAUCCAUGACAAGGCCUACAUUUUGGCGCUAGGGCUUCUAACGAGCCAAUACUCAUUGCUCGGCUAUGAUGCAUCGGCUCACAUGGUACACAUCUCCUCCUGUCCCAAUACCGGUACCUACUCAUGUUGAUGGUUAUUUGUCUUAUCUGCUUGCGCAUAUAUAUGUGCUCGAGUGCAGCUAUAUUGCCUCAAUGUCACAUUUGGGUCAACAAAGCUCACAUUAUCGGGAAUAAAUGUGCAGAUUGAGGAAACGAAGAACGCGGAUUGGAGUGGUCCGAUCGGGAUCAUCACAUCCGUUGCUCUCUCGACCGUGUUUGGUUGGAUCUUCCUUGUGGCUCUAACAUCCAUUGUGACGAACAUACCAUACCUGCUAGACCCUGGCAAUGAUGCUGCCGGGUACGCCGUUGCGCAAGCGCUUUACACUGCCUUCCACCGAAGGUAUGGCAGUGGGGUUGGAGGGCUCGUCUGCACAGGCAUCGUCGCGUUCGGCAUCUUCCUCGCGGGUGUCGCGUGUGUCGCCAGCAAUUCAAGGUUUGGUAGCGAUUGCACUACAUAACAGUUGACAUAUUAGUGUUGAUAUUUCUUGCGUUGCAAAUUAUUCGAUAUCAAAGUCAAAUUUCUCUAUGUUUGACCAAUUCUAUAGAAGAAUCAUAGUAAUAUAUCUACAACAUCAAAUUUAAAUAGUAAAAAAAAAUCAUAUUUUAUUCUGAAUCUAAUGAAACUAAUUUGGUCUUGUAGUUGCUGAUAUUUUUUGAUAAACUUGGUCAAACUUUGCAAUUUUUAUUUAUGACAAAUCCAUAAUAAUUUGGAACCUAAUGACUAUUUGCUAAGUUGUUAUCACAUUUCGAUAUAGGAUGGGCUAUGCCUUUUCGAGGGACAAGGCGAUGCCCUUCUCGCACGUGUGGCACCGGGUGAGCAGGAACGAGGUGCCUCUCAAUGUUGUGUGGCUCUGUGUGGUUGUCGCCUUCAUAAUGGCUCUCACGGUGCGUAAUACCUCUGCCAUCUCGAUCUCGACUCGAAGCACCAAACCUUUACAACAUGAACGCAUGAUUCGUGUCAAGGACUUGCUACCACACCUAAAAUUUCACGUUCCUAUUUUUGUGUGUGUUUCUUGUCUUCGUAUGCAGUCUCUCGGAAGCCAGGUGGCAUUCCAAGCAAUGGUGUCGAUUGCGACACUAGGGCAGUACAUCUCCUACGUGCUACCCAUCUUCUUCCGUGUGACGACGGCCCGGAGGUCAUUCAGCCCAGGGCCAUUCCACCUAGGGAGGUACAGUAUUGUCAUCGGCUGGGCAGCAGUCCUCUGGGUGGCCUUGCUCACCGUGCUCUUCUCAUUGCCUGUGGCGUACCCAAUCGCCAAGGACAACUUCAACUACACGCCGGUGGCCGUCGGUGGUGUGCUACUGCUCAGUGUCGGCUCAUGGGUGCUCCAUGCCCGGUUCUGGUUCAAAGGACCCAUAGUAAAUGUUGACAUGUAGAAUUUUGUGCAUUGUAAACUUUAGUUUAUUUGAUAUGUGGUGGAUGAGUUUACACAUGGAGCUGUAUUACCAAGAAGGCUCUUUAGGUAGGUUGAUCGUUCGGACAAUUUGGCAUAGUGUACUCUAUGGACGUGCAAAGAGUAUCUAGUCAAUGGUUUAGAAAACCAAUAUUCGGCAAUGAUAAAAUUUACCAAAACAUGGCGAUUUUUGAAGGGUGCUGCUGCCCCUCUCCGGAGCGCACACACAUGGGGGACAGGGCAGAUAUGUCCACAAUGAAACAGUCGAGAGGGAUUUCUGGCCACAUUGACAAAGCCGAAGGAUGAAGAUGAUGCGGGGAGAGGCAUCCAACAGUGUGGGGAUGCCUCUAUCAAAAAAGUUGCAUGGCGACCGGCCGAAAUUUAAAGCGCCUAGCGUUGGCCGAAUGCUUAAGGCAUGUCGCGUCGACUCAUUCCUUCCAACAGAUACACCUCGAUGACAAAAUUAUUGACUUGGGUACUCUAUCACCAUCACCCGCGCCAUCUUCAGGGGCACAAAAUCUAAUUAACACUCGACAUUCUUUUUCUUCUCAGAUAAACAUAUGCAAUUCCUAGUCCAAGUCCAAGAUCCAGGACCAACCAGAUGACAGAGGAAAGAUCAACCUUUCAAACGAUCCUGUUAUAUUAUCCUACCACUCCCCGUCAUGGGGAUCAGAGUCAAACUCGUAUCUUCUUUCUUUGAGAAACAAACAAUGGCGGCCGGCGAUAUUUGUGCAUGUGGCUGCGCUACGUGACAACUAAUCAUAAAUUAUCUCCUUGGCGUCAACAAUGGCGGGUCACCCGAAAGGGACCUUGCCCGAAUGGUCCAAGCCGCGGACAGUUUCCACUUGCCACUCGCUCACUCUCUUGUUGACUCCCUGCUCACCGGAGACCGAGGAGCUCACUCGCUGGCAAAUGAAGAUAGGACGGCAACCUGCAGCCAAGUCAGGGGCGGCGGGUAGGGAGGGGAGCUAGAGCUAGAGACGGUCGAUGGCCGUGUCACGCUCCGGCGCGGCGGGCGUGGCCGCCGGCGGCGACACGACCGACGACGCCGACCGAGCGCGGCUGCACCAGCUCGGCUACAAGCAGGAGCUCAAGCGCGGCCUCUCGUACGCUGCUCUGCUUCACCAUCGUAUCAUCGGCGUUUGUGCGCAGCUCUAUCGUUGGAUUGAUUCUGGUGCUUUUCUUGGGCUCUGCGCAGCCUCAUGUCCAACUUCGCCUUCUCCUUCUCCAUCAUCUCCGUCAUGGCCGGCGUCACCACGACCUACAACGGCGGGCUGCGCUACGGCGGGCCGGCGUCCAUGACGCUCGGGUGGCUGGUGGUGGCGGCCUUCAACGGCUGCGUCGCGCUGUCCAUGGCGGAGAUCUGCUCCGCCUACCCGACCUCCGGCGGGCUCUACUACUGGAGCGCCAAGCUCGCCGGCAAGGAGUGGGCGCCCCUCGCCUCCUGGGUCACCGGCUGGUUCAACAUCGUCGGACAGGUAUGCCGCUGAAACUUGUACAUGGUGAUCACCUCCUGUUUUGACACGUUGCUGACAGUGUUAUAACUGUCCCAGUGGGCUGCUACCACGAGCACGGACUUCUCCCUGGCGCAGCUGGUCCAGGUGAUCAUCUUGCUCGGCACCGGCGGGGCCACCGGCGGCGGGUACACGGCCUCCAAGUACGUCGUGCUGGCCAUCCACGGCUUCUUCCUCGUCCUGCACGGCCUCAUCAACAGCCUCCCCAUCCGCUGGCUGUCCUGGUGCGGCAAGCUCGGCGCGUUCUGGAACACGGCGGGCGCGUUCACGCUGGUGAUCCUCAUCCCGGCGGUGGCCAAGGAGCGGGCGAGCGCCAAGUUCAUCUUCACGCACUUCAACGACGACAACGGCAUGGGGAUCCACGGCAAGGCCUACAUUCUCGCCCUCGGCCUCCUCACCAGCCAGUACUCUCUGCUCGGCUACGACGCCUCCGCUCACAUGGUACGCUGCUCCUCAUCCUAGCUAGAUUUCCAUGGAGUUUCGUGAAGAUCUAAUGACCGACCUUGGCAGAUUGAAGAGACGAAGAACGCGGACUGGAGCGGGCCGAUGGGGAUCAUCAGCUCGGUGGCCCUGUCGACCACGUUCGGGUGGAUCUUCCUGGUGGCGCUGACGUCGAUCGUGACGGACAUCCCGUACCUGCUCAGCCCGGACAACGACGCCGGGGGCUACGCCGUCGCCCAGGCCCUGUACGCCGCCUUCGACAGGAGGUACGGCAGCGGCGUGGGAGGGCUGGUCUGCGUCGGGGUAGUCGCCGUCGGCAUCUUCUUCGCCGGCGCCAUGUGCAUCGCCAGCAACUCGAGGAUGGGGUACGCCUUCUCGAGGGACAGGGCGAUGCCGCUCUCGCGCGUGUGGCUCCGCGUCAGCAAGAACGAGGUGCCCCUCAACGUCGUCUGGCUCUCCGUCGUCGUCGCCUUCGUCAUGGCCCUCACGGUGCGUGCUCAACGAGUUUCCGCCAUGAAUCUCCGAACACCCGACCAUGAUUUUUACAGCUGAUUUUCGUACGUGUGUGCGUGCAGUCGCUGGGGAGUCAGGUGGCGUUCCAGGCGAUGGUGUCGAUCGCGACGCUGGGGCAGUACAUCGCCUACGCGCUGCCCAUCUUCUUCCGGGUGACGACGGCGAGGAGGUCGUUCGUGCCGGGGCCGUUCCACCUCGGGAGAUACGGGGUCGCCGUCGGCUGGGCCGCCGUCCUCUGGGUGGCGUUCCUCACCGUGCUCUUCUCGUUGCCGGUGGCGUACCCGGUGGCCAAGGACAACUUCAACUACACGCCGGUGGCCGUCGGCGGCGUGCUGCUGCUCAGCGUCGGCGCAUGGGUGGUCAACGCCAGGUUCUGGUUCCAGGGGCCCAUCACCAAUGUCGACUUGUAGCUAGGGACCAAACAAGUCACGUGUAUCAUAGCUUCUCGUUUGGAACUUUGGAUUGUACAGUGUAUCUGUGGGUGUCGCUUCUCGUUUGAAACUUCGUUUCUUGUUUGAUACUCCACGUACUGCCAAAUCCACAAACGUAACCAAGAGGUCUGGGAAAAAAUCUACAAAAAAAAUGAUGAGAUGGGUACAACAUGUGUAAAUUAUAUCACCAAAUAUGAAAGACAUAGCUAUGAAUAGUAAUUAGUUCAAAGUGGGCCGCAAAAAAGUAAUUAGUUCAAAUUGGGCAAAACAUUCAGCCUGUGAACACAGUCAAUGCUUAACUAGUGUUUUUUUCUGUAAGUUUUUUCAUCAUGACACAUUUUGAUUUUGCAUAUGAAAUUUUAUGACAUGAUAAAUCGUUGUAGUAUCAAUUUGAUAUAGACCGAACCUUGAUGGCGAGAUCCGGACUGUUGUUGCGCCCGAUCUUUCAUGACACUCCUCCUUCAGCAACAGUAACCUCUCGCCCACACAAGCGAUGUACGUGAAGUAGAGGGAUUGAACUUUAUGGUCCAGCACGACAAAACUAAUCUCGACGAUGAUACUCACGCGCAAAACAAUUUCCUCGCAAAGAAAACGCAACACGAAGUUUUUCUAAAGCUUCCUCCAAAACUUAGGGAUUUUUUGACAGCUUCCCCCAAAACUUGAUACGGGUAUUUACCUUAAAUAAAGGACAAGGAUAACGCCCACAUGUGUGGUGGGAGCGAAACCCGCCCACACGCCCUAUAGCACACGAACUACGCCAUGUCACCGCAUGCAUGCAUGUGGAAAUCUUUUUAGAUUUUUUGUUUUUAAAAUGUUUUAUAUCUUAAAUGAAAAAUCCGAUUGAAGAUCCGUUUUCACCAUUAAAUCCCUCACGACGAGAUCUUCGAAACUAGAUCUCAUAUCAAUAUAUUUUGACAUUUUUUUGGUUAAAAGUUGCCGUGUCUAUUGCACAUGAAUUGCCAUGAUGUUUACAUUGAAGUUGCCAUGAUAUGUUUCAGCUAUUUUUUCUUCUACAUUUAAAAGUAAAUUUUGACAUAUUAUAAAACGGGGAAUUAAGAAACUAGACUUGCCAUGCACCAUAAAUUAAAAUUGCCAUGAUACAUGCACUUAAAAUUGCCAUGGUUCAUACAAAAGAAUAUUUUCAUGAUCAAAGUACUGGAAUUGCCAUGAUCUACAAACUAAAAUUGCCACAUGGCAACUUUAGUUUAAGCACUAUGUCAACUGCAGUGUAAACAUCAUGGUAACUUUUGGGUAAUUUUUUUUUUGUCGAAACAUAUCAACAUGGGGUCUAGUUUUGAAGAUCUCGUCGAGACGGAUUUAAUGGUGAAAACGGAUUUUUAAUUUGCUUUUUUAAUUAGGAGAUAAAACAUUUUUAAGCCGAAAACCAAAAAGAUUUCUGCUGAUGUCAUCUGUUCAUACGUGGCAAAAUGAAUGGUGAUGGAGGCGUGUGGCCGAUGUGCAAACGCCCACACGUGUGGGCUUAGUUUUUACAUAAAUAAAAACACAGCUUCCCCCAUAACUUUGUUUCUUGUUUGAUACUCCACGUACUCAAGUCAUGGGAAAAAAUCUAAAUAAAAUGAUGAGACAGGUACAACAUGUGUAGAUUAUAUCACAAAAAAAGUAUUGAAUCCAAAUAUGAAAGGUACAUAUGGAUAAAAGUAGAAAAUGGCUGCGAAUAGCAAUUAGUUCAAAUCGAGCAAAACAAUCAGCCUAUGAACACAAUCAAUGCUUGACUAGCGUUUUUGUGUGUGUUAUGCAUUGUUAUUUUGGAUCUGAAAUUUUAUGACAUGAUAUAUCAUUGUAGUAUCAGUGUCAUGAAUUUAUUUUUGCUAACUCCAUUGUUGUCGCUCUUAUGAGGCCCACUCACGGUGCAUCAUGGGCCUAGCACAGCGGUAGCAAAAGCAUCGUGUUCCCCUCUCCGACUCCUUGCCGAAAUGCCCUAGUUUGCUAAUGGGGACCGCUAAAAUUCAGUCGACUGAGUUUUAGUCAAGUCUCAGUCGACACUGUUAAGAUUCGUGUUUAGUAGUCGCUGGUGCGAUUCUACGUUUCUCGGAGGCUGCUUCCUUUCAAUCGCAUGCAUGCACGUGGGCUUCGCCCGUUAGCCAUUGUUUAGUUUAUUGUAUGGGCUUAUCUGGUCAUCGGGCCUCACAGGCUUGUUUGUUUUCUCAUUUUUAUUUUGUUUUUAUUGUGAAUGUUUUCCUUUUUGCGGCCGAUGCAGAGAGCAACUAGUUAACGAGCGUUCCUUCGGGAGCCUCUCAAAAAUGAAAAAAAAACAUGUUUUCUGUUUUUUUUGCGAGAGUCACGGUUUUGCUUCUGUGAGAGGCACGGGUCUGUUUUCACAAGAGUCAUGGCUGUGCCUCUCGGAAACGAAAAAAAUACGUUUUUUUUCUUUUUUUUCUUUUCGCGAGAGUCACGGUUUUGCUUCCGCGAGAGGUACGGUUGUGGUUUAGCGAGAGUCAUGGCCAUGCCUCUCGGAAACGAAAAAAAUACGUUGUUUUUUUUCUUUUCGCAAGAGUCACGGUUUUGCUUCCGCGAGAGGUACGGUUGUUCUUUCGCGAGAGUCACGGCCGUGCCACCCGGAAACGGAAAAAAUGCGUUUUCUGUUUUUUCUUUCUUUCGCGAGAGUUACGGUUUUGCUUCCGCGAGAGGCACGGUUGUGCUUUCGCGAGAGUCACGGCCGUGCCUCCUCGGAAACGAAAAAAAAUGCAUUUUCUCUUUUUUUUUCCUUCCGCGAGAGUCACGAUUUUGUUCCGCGAGAGGCACGGUUGUGAUUUAGUGAGAGGCACGAGCAUGCCUCUUUCGGAAAGGAAAAAAAACCCGUGCUCCCGAUUCAAUUUUUUCGUCUGUUUUUUUUUCAUAAAAAAAGUUUGUCAAAACCUAUCAUCAUGGAAUCUAGUUUGAAGAUCUCGACACGGGGAAUCCAACGAUGAAAGCGGUUCGAGAUUUGGACGCACAGUUUAAGAGAUAAAACGUUUUGAAUAAACAGAUAUACGAAAAAAAGGAAAAACUUCCAUGUUGCGACAAGUGUCGUGCUGCAUGCGCGCCACUUGUUAUAGCCUAGGUUGAAGUGAUCUUUACAAUAAGUACUCCUCAACUAGUGAUUUCAGCCGAUGCAUGCUGCUGAACUUUUACGUACCCAGCCGCCAUGCGUACAUAGUAUAUAAGAAAGCCUGUUUUGGUACGAUUUUUUUUCUGUUUUUUACUACAACGUUUUGCUAUAUUCUCUUUUCUGCUUUUAAAUUUAUUCUCUAUUUAUUUUUUGUUUUCAUUUCUGUUAUUAUUAUUAUUAUUAUUAUUAUUAUUAUUAUUAUUAUUAUUAUUCCAAAAACUAUUGCCACCUUGUUGCACAUACGUCUACAUUGAUCAAGCACAAUUACAUGUCUUUUCUCCUUGUGCAAUUUAUUUGUUUUUCUUUAUUGUCAUGGGCCACACGCUUCUAUAGCAUGGGGUCGCACAUCAUUCACACACAAUUGUAAUAAGCAUGUCGUUCGUGUGCAACUUAUUUUUUUCUUUUCAAAAAUAUUUGUCAUCGACCAAUUGAAAGUGUCGCCCCUAACUGCAACUCUGCAUGUCACUGCAAAUGUCAACACUGAUGUCAGAUUUCGGGUUCCGGCAAAACCCGUGAGGUUCGAACACUGGGGUGCGCACGAAGAUCUCUCCUCCGCUUUGCUCGCUCCCGCAACGAUCGCAAGGCCUAGCUCGACGAACCCAAAGAACGAGAGACACGAGAUUUAUACUGGUUCGGGCCACCGAUGUGGUGUAAUACCCUACUCCAGUGUGGUGUGGUGGAUUGCCUCAUGGGCUGAGGAUGAACUAGUACAAUCGGAAGAACAACCUCCUGAGGAGAGGUGCUCUUGUGCUUGGUGAGCUUGUGUGGAUGGGGAUGAUCUGAAUGAUCCGUCCCUUGCUACGAUGGUGGCUAGUCCUAUUUACAGAUGCCCUGGUCCUCUUCCCAAAUAUUGAGCGGGAAGGGAUGCCACAUCGGCCGAAUUCGAAGGAAGACAACUAGUACAAGUUAUCCUGACUAAAGGUGGUCUUCGCCUGCCAAAGGCUCUGGUGGUGACGCCGUCUUGGGCUCCACGGUGACCUCCGUCCUGCCGUCCUGCUGGUCUUGGUCUUGUUGCACCGAUAUGGCAACCUUUGCAUGAUGCCUCGGGACUCCUCGCCUGCGCUUGCCUCUUUAGCACCAAAGAGGAAAUGAGGACACUGCGCGCGCUGGCGCCCGCCUGGCCUUGGUCGUCAUGGCUUGCGUCACAGGAACCUCGCGAGGUGCCCCUUGCCUUGAUCUCUCCGCCCCUCGCGAGCCGGCCUGGUGAGGCCGACCCCGAGGAGGUCUUGCGUCGUCCUCCUCGCGAGGCUUGGCCCCUGCAACCUCUUGAGCUUGCGUUGGUUUUUCCCUUGAAGAGGAAAAGGUGAUGCAGCAAAGUAGCGUAAGUAUUUCCCUUAAUUUUUGAGAACCAAGGUAUCAAUCCAGUAGGAGGUUACACGCAAGUCGUCUUAUACCUGCAUAAACAAAUAAGAACCUUGCAACCAACACGAUAAAGGGGUUGUCAAUCCCUUCACGGCCACUUGCAAAAGUGAGAUCUGAUAGAGAUAAUAAGAUAAAUAUUUUUUGUAUUUUUAUGAUAUAGAUUGAAAGUAAAGAUUGCAAAGUAAAAAUAGAUUGGAAACUUAUAUGAUGGAAAAUAGACCCGGGGGCCAUAGGUUUCACUAGUGGCUUCUCUCAAGAUAGCAUAAGUAUUACGGUGGAUGAACAAAUUACUGUCGAGCAAUUGAUAGAAAUGUGCAUAAGUAUGAGAAUAUCUAGGCAUGAUCAUGUAUAUAGGCAUCACGUCCGUGACAAGUAGACCGAAACGAUUCUGCAUCUACUACUAUUACUCCACACAUCGACCGUUAUUCAGCAUGCAUCUAGAGUAUUAAGUUCAUAAGAACAGAGUAACGCAUUAGGCAAGAUGACAUGAUGUAGAGGGAUAAACUCAAGCAAUAUGAUAUAAACCCCAUCUUUUAUCCUCGAUGGCAACAAUACAAUACGUGCCUUGCUGCCCUGCUGUCACUGGGAAAGGACACCGCAAGAUUGAACCCAAAGCUAAGCACUUCUCCCAUUGCAAGAAAGAUCAAUCUAGUAGGCCAAACCAAACUCAUAAUUCGAAGAGACUUGCAAAGAUAACAAAUCAUACAUAAAAGAAUUCAGAGGAGAUUCAAAUAUUGUUCAUAGAUAAUCUUGAUCAUAAACCCACAAUUCAUCGGAUUUCGACAAACACACCGCAAAGAGAGUUACAUCGAAUAGAUCUCCAAGAAGAUCGAGGAGAACUUUGUAUUGAGAUCCAAAGAGAGAGAAGAAGCCAUCUAGCUAAUAACUAUGGACCCGAAGGUCUGUGGUAAACUACUCACACAUCAUCGGAGAGGCCAUGGUGUUGAUGUAGAAGCCCUCCGUGAUCGAUUCCCCCUCCGGCGGAGUGCCGGAAAAGGCUCCAAGAUGGGAUCUCACGGGUACAGAAGGUUGCGGCGGUGGAAAUAGGGUUUCGUGGUGCUCCUAGAUGUUUUCGGGGUUUAUGGGUAUAUAUAGGAGGAAGAAGUAGGUCGGUGGAGCUGCGAGGGGCCCACGAGGGUGGGGGGGCGUGCCCAGGGGGGCAGGCGCGCCUCCCUGCCUCGUGGCCUCCCCGCUUCUUUCUUGACGUCCACUCCAAGUCCCCUGGAUCACGUUUGUUCCAAAAAUAACUCUCCCGAAGGUUUCAGUCCGUUUGGAUACCGUUCGAUAUUCUUUUCUUGCGAAACACUGAAAUAGGCAAAAAAAUAGCAAUUUGCACUGGGCCUUCGGUUAGUAGGUUAGUCCCAAAAAUAAUAUAAAAGUGUAUAAUAAAGCCCAUUAAGCAUCCAAAACAGAUAAUAUAAUAGCAUGGAACAAUAAAAAAUUAUAGAUACGUUGGAGACGUAUCAGCCCCUCGCGAGGGUCUUGAGUGUUUGCUGGUGAAGGUGGGCCGUACAGGGCCGCUGGUGGAGCCACGCCGUGGGCCGCAGGCAGGCAAGUCUGGGGACCCCCGUUCCCAAGACGCCGACACCUGACUACAGAUCUGUGGUGCUUGUCGGUGGAGAGAGGGCAAUUCCAUGUCACUAGGCACGCAAACUGCAAGUGUCAUCCCCGAGUGCAAAUGCAUGUCUUCAGCGAGACCGCAACCAUGUGGUGUUUUAUCGAGGAGAGUACGGUUGCAUGUGUGCUACUAGGCAUGCAACUGCAAAUGUCACCUUCGGCUGCAACUUUCUAUUGUUUGUCGGUGGGGAGAGUGUUGGGGGGGCGUAGCAUGCAAUUUCAAAAAAAUUCCUAAGCUCACGCAAGAUCUAUCUAGGAGAUGCAUAGCAACAAGCGGGGAGAGUGUGUCCACGUACCCUCAUAGACCGAAAGCGGAAGCGUUUAGUACCGCGGUUGAUGUAGUUGAACGUCUUUGCGGUCCAACCGAUCCUAGCACCGAACCAUGGCACCUCCGUGUUCAGCACACAUUUAGCAUGAUGACGUCCCUCGAGCUCUUGAUCCUGUUGAGGACGAGGGAGAGUUCUGUCAGCACGACGGCAUGGCGACGGUGAUGAUGAAGUUACCGGCGCAGGGCUUCGCCUAAGCACUACGGCGAUAUGACCGAGGUGGUAAACUGUGAAGGGGGGCACCGCACAUGGCUAAGACAAUUGAUCUUGUGUGUUCUAGGGUGCCCCCUGCCUCCGUAUAUAAAGGAGGAGAGGGGGAGGCCGGCCGGCCCCUGUAGGGCGUGCCAGAGAGAGGAGUCCUCCUAGGACUCCAAGUACUAGUAGGAUUCCACUUGGUGGAAGGGGGAAGAAGGAAGGGAGAGGGAGAGGGGAAGGAAAGGGGGGCGCCGCCCCCUUCCCCUAGUCCAAUUCGGACUGCCAAGCAGGGGGGGCGGGAGGCAGCCCCUUGCGGUCCUUGUCUCUCUCCACUAAGGCCCAUGAAGGCCCAUUAGUUCCCCCGGGGGGUUCCGAUAACCCUCCGACACUCCAAUAGUUAUCCGGUACCUCUCGAAACUCAUCCGGUGUGCGAAUAACGUCGUCCAAUAUAUCAUUCUUUAUGUCUCGACCAUUUAGAGACUCCUCGUCAUGUCCGUGAUCUCAUCCGGGACUCUGAACAAACUUUGGUCAUCAAUUCACAUAACUCAUAAUACAAAUCGUCAUCGAACGUUAAGCGUGCAGACCCUACGGGUUCGAGAACUAUGUAGACAUGACCGAGCACAUCUCUGGUCAGUAACCAAUAGCGGAACGUGGAUGCUCAUAUUGGCUCCUACAUAUUCUACGAAGAUCUUUAUCGGUCAAACCGCAUAACAACAUACGUUGUUCCCUUUGUCAUCGGUAUGUUAUUUGCCCGAGAAUUCGAUCGUCGGUAUCCUCAUACCUAGUUCAAUCUCGUUACUGACAAGUCUCUUUACUCGUUCCGUAAUGCAUCAUCCCAUAACUAACUCAUAAGUCACAUUGCUUGCAAGGCUUAUAGUGAUGUGCAUUACCGAGAGGGCCCAAAGAUACCUCUCCGAUACUCGGAGUGACAAAUCCUAAUCUCAAUCUAUGCCAACCCAACAAACUAUUGGGGAACGCAGUAUUAUAACUUUUUACCUACGACCACGCAAGAUCUAUCUAGGAGAUGCAUAGCAACGAGCGGGGAGAGUGUGUCCACGUACCCUCGUAGACCGAAAGCGGAAGCGUUUAAUAACGCGGUUGAUGUAGUCGAACGUCUUCAUGAUCCAACCAAUCCAAGCACCGAACGUACGGCACCUCCGCGUUCAGCACACGUUCAGCUCGAUGAAGUCCCUCGAGCUCUUGAUCCAAUUGAGGACGAGGGAGAGUUUCGUCAGCACGACGGUGUGGCGACGGUGAUGAUGAAGUUACCGGCGCAGGGCUUCGCCUAAUCACUACGCCGAUAUGACCGAGGUGUGUAACUGUGGAGGGGGGCACCGCACACGGCUAAGAGUAGACUUGGUGUGUCUUUGGGGUGCCCCCUCCCCCGUAUAUAAAGGAGGGGGGAAGAGGAGGCCGGCCCUAGAGGGGGCGCGCCAAGAGGGGGGGGGGAGUCCUACUUGGACUCCCGGUCCAAGUAGGAUUCGCCCCCCAAUUUCCUAAUCCCACUAGGAGAAGGAGGGAAGGAGGAAGAGGAGAGAAGGAAGGAGGGGGCGCCACCCCCACCCCUUUUCCAAUUCGGAUUGGCAAGGGGGGCGUGCGCCACCUCCUGGCUGGCCCUCUCUCUUCUCCACUAAGGCCCAUGGUGGCCCAUUAACCUNNNNNNNNNNNNNNNNNNNNNNNNNNNNNNNNNNNNNNNNNNNNNNNNNNNNNNNNNNNNNNNNNNNNNNNNNNNNNNNNNNNNNNNNNNNNNNNNNNNNNNNNNNNNNNNNNNNNNNNNNNNNNNNNNNNNNNNNNNNNNNNNNNNNNNNNNNNNNNNNNNNNNNNNNNNNNNNNNNNNNNNNNNNNNNNNNNNNNNNNNNNNNNNNNNNNNNNNNNNNNNNNNNNNGGGGGGGGGGGUCCGGUAACCCUCGGUACUCCAAAACUUAUCCGAAACGACCCGAACCAUUCCGGUGUCCGAAUGUAACCUUCCAAUAUAUGAAUCUGUACCUCUUGACCAUUUCGAGACUCCUCGUCAUGUCCGUGAUCUCAUCCGGGACUCCAAACAAACUUCGGUCAUCAAAUCAGAUAACUCAUAAUACAAAUCGUCAUCGAACGUUAAGCGUGCGGACCCUACGGGUUCGAGAACUAUGUAGACAUGACCGAGACACAUCUCCGGUCAAUAACCAAUAGCGGAACCUGGAUGCUCAUAUUGGUUCCUACAUAUUCUACGAAGAUCUUUAUCGGUCAAACCGCAUAACAACAUACGUUGUUCCCUUUGUCAUCGGUAUAUUACUUGCCCGAGAUUCGAUCGUCGGUAUCAUCAUACCUAGUUCAAUCUCGUUACCGGAAAGUCCCUUUACUCGUUCUGUAAUGAAUCAUGCCAUGCCUAACUCAUUAGUCACAUUGCUUGCAAGGCUCAUAGUGAUGUGCAUUACCGAGAGGGCCCAGAGAUACCUCUCCGAUACCCGGAGUGACAAAUCCUAAUCUCGAUCUAUGCCAACUCAACAAACACCAUCGGAGACACCUGUAGAGCAUCUUUAUAAUCACCCAGUUACGUUGUGACGUUUGAUAUCAUACAAGGUGUUCCUCCAGUAUUCGAGAGUUGCAUAAUCUCAUAGUCAGAGGAACAUGUAUAACUCAUGAAGAAAGCAAUAGCAAUAAAACUAAAUGAUCAUUAUGCUAAGCUACCGGAUGGGCCUUGUCCAUCACAUCAUUCUCUAAUGAUGUGAUCCCGUUCAUCAAAUGACAACACAUGUCUAUGGUCAGGAAACUUAACCAUCUUUGAUUAACGAGCUAGUCUAGUAGAGGCAUACUAGGGACACUCUGUUUGUCUAUGUAUUCACACAUGUACUAAGUUUCCAAGUUAAUACAAUUCUAGCAUGAAUAAUAAACAUUUAUCAUGAUAUAAGGAAAUAUAAAUAACAUCUUUAUUAUUGCCUCUAGGGCAUAUUUCCUUCACAAACACCUUCGGAGACACAUGUAGAGCAUCUUUAUAAUCACCCAGUUAUGUUGUGACGUUUGCUAGCACACAAGGUGUUCCUCCGGUAUUCGGGAGUUUCAUAAUCUCACAGUCAAAGAAAUAUGUAUAAGUCAUGAAGAAAGCAAUAGAAAUAAAACUGAACGAUCAACAUGCUAAGCUAACGGAUGGUUCUUGUCCAUCACAUCAUUCUCCUAAUGAUGUGACCCCGUUCAUCAAAUGAAAACACAUGUCUAUGGUCAGGAAACUUGACCAUCUUUUGAUUAACGAGCUAGUCAAGUAGAGGCAUACUAGGGACACUUUGUUUGUCUAUGUAUUCACACAUGUAUCAAGUUUCCAGUUAAUACAAUUCUAGCAUGAAUAAUAAACAUUUAUCAUGAUAUAAGGAAAUAUAAAUAACAUCUUUAUUAUUUCCUCUAGGGCAUAUUUCCUUCAGUCUCCCACUUGCACUUGAGUCAAUAAUCUAGUUCAGAUCGCCAUGUGAUUUAACACCAAUAGUUCACAUCGUCAUGUGAUUUAACACUGUAUAGUUCACAUCGCCAUGUGACCAAUACCCAAAGGUUACGAGAGUCAAUAAUCUAGUUCACAUCGCCAUGUGAUUAACACCCAAAGAGUACUAAGGUGUGAUCAUGUUUUGCUUGUGAGAGAAGUUUAGUCAACGGGUCUGCCACAUUCAGAUCCGUAUGUAUUUUGCAAAUUUCUAUGUCUACAAUGCUGUGCACGGAGCUACUCUAGCUAAUUGCUACCACUUUCAAUAUGUAUCCAGAUUGAGACUUAGAGUCAUCCAGAUCAGGGUCAAAGCUUGCAUUGAUGUAACCCUUUACGACGAACUUUUUGUCACCUCCAUAACCGAGAAACAUAUCCUUACUCCACUAAGGAUAAUUUUGACCGCUGUCCAGUGAUCCACUCCUGGAUCACUAUUGUACCCUCUUGCCAAACUCAUGGUGAGGUACACAAUAGGUCUGGUACACAGCAUAGCAUACUUUAUAGAACCUAUGACUGAGGCAUAGGGAAUGACUUUUCAUUCUCUUUCUAUUUUCUGCCGUGGUUGGGUUUUGUGUCUUUACUCAACUUCACACCUUGUAACACAGGCAAGAACCCUUUCUUUGACUGAUACAUUUUGAACUUCUUCAAAACUUUAUCAAGGUAUGUGCUUUGUGAAAGUCCAAUUAAGCAUCUUGAUCUAUCUCUACAGAUCUUGAUGCCCAAUAUAUAAACAACUUCACCGAGGUUUUUCAUUGAAAAAUUCUUAUUCAAGUACCCUUUUAUGCUAUCCAGAAAUUCUGUAUUAUUUCCAAUCAACAAUAUGUCAUCCACAUAUAAUAUUAGAAAUGCUAUAGAGUUCUCACUCACUUUCUUGUAAAUACAGGCUUCUCCAAAAGUCUGUAUAAAACCAUAUGCUUUGAUCACCUUAUCAAAGCGUAUAUUCCAACUCCGAGAUGCUCGCACCAGUCCAUCAAUGGAUCGCUGGAGUUUGCACACUUUGUUAGCACCUUUAGGAUCGACAAAACCUUCUGGUUGCAUCAUAUACAACUCUUCUUUAAGAAAUCCAUUAAGGAAUGUAUUUUUGACAUCCAUUUACCAGAUUUCAUAAAAUGUGGCAAUUGCUAACAUGAUUCGGACAGACUUAAGCAUCGCUAUGAGUGAGAAAAUCUCAUCGUAGUCAACACCUUGAACUUGUCGAAAACCUUUUGCGACAAGUCGAGCCUUGUAGAUAGUAACACUACCAUCAGCGUCCGUCUUCCUCUUGAAGAUCCAUUUAUUCUCAAUGGCUUGCCGAUCAUCGGGCAAGUCCACCAAAGCCCACACUUUGUUCUCACACAUGGAUCCUAUCUCAGAUUGCAUGGCCUCAAGCCAUUUAUCGGAAUUUGGGCUCAUCAUCGCUUCCUCAUAGUUCGUAGGUUCGUCAUGGUCUAGUAACAUGACUUCCAGAACAGGAUUACCAUACCACUCUGGUGCGGAACGUGCUCUGGUUGACCUACGAGGUUCAGUAGUAACUUGAUCUGAAGUUUCAUGAUCAUUAUCAUUAUCUUCCUCACUAGUUGGUGUAGGCAUCACGGGAACGGUUUUUUGUGAUGAGCUACUAUCCAAUUCGAGAGAAGGUACAAUUACCUCAUCAAGUUCUACUUUCCUCCCACUCACUUCUUUCGAGAGAAACUCCUUCUCUAGAAAGCAUCCAUUCUUAGCAACAAAUAUCUUGGCUUUGGAUCUGUGAUAGAAGGUGUACCCAACAGUUUCUUUUGGGUAUCCUAUGAGGACGCACUUCUCCGAUUUGGGUUCGAGCUUAUCAGGUUGAAGCUUUUUCACAUAAGCAUCGCAGCCCCAAACUCUAAGAAAACGACAGCUUAGGUUUCUUGCCAAACCAUAGUUCAAAUGGUGUCGUCUCAACGGAUUUAGAUGGUGCCCUAUUUAACGUGAAUGCAGCUGUCUCUAAUGCAUAACCCCAAAACGAUAGUGGUAAAUCGAUAAGAGACAUCAUAGAUCGCAUCAUAUCUAAUAAAGUGCAGUUAUGACGUUCGGAUACACCAUUACGCUGUGGUGUUCUAGGUGGCGUGAGUUGCGAAGCUAUUCCACAUUGUUUCAAAUAAAGACCAAACUCGUAACUCAAAUAUUCGCCUCUGCGAUCAGAUCGUAGAAACUUUAUUUUAUUGUGACGAUGAUUUUCUACUUCACUCUGAAAUUCUUUGAACUUUUCAAAUGUUUCAGACUUAUGUUUUAUUAAGUAGAUAUACCCAUAUCUGCUCAAAUCAUCUGUGAAGGUCAGAAAAUAAUGAUACCCGCCGCGAGCCUCAACACUCAUCAGACCUCAUACAUCGGUAUGUAUUAUUUCCAAUAAUGUCAGUGGCUUGCUCCAUUGUUCCGGAGAACAGAGUCUUAGUCAUCUUGCCCAUGAGGCAUGGUUCGCAAGCAUCAAACGAUUCAUAAUCAAGUGAUUCAAAAAGCCUAUCAGCAUGGAGUUUCUUCGUGCGCUUUACACCAAUAUGACCUAAACGGCAGUGCCACAAAUAUGUUGCACUAUCAUUAUCAACUUUGCAUCUUUUGGCAUCAAUAUUAUGAAUAUGUGUAUCACUACGAUCGAGAUUCAAUAAACCAUUCACAUUGGGUGUAAGACCAUUGAAGGUUUUUAUUCAUAUAAACAUAACAACAAUUAUUCUCCGACUUAAAUGAAUAACCAUAUUGCAAUAAACAUGAUCUAAUCAGAUUAAUGCUCAACGCAAACACCAAAUAACAUUUAUUUAGGUUCAAUUCUAAUCCCGAAGGUAGAGGAAGUGUGCGAUGGUGAUCGUAUCAACCUUGGAAUUACUUCCAACACACAUCGUCACCUCGUCCUUAACUAGUCUCUCUUUAUCUUACAAGUCCUAUUUUAAGUUACUACUCAUAGUAACUGAACCAGUAUCAUUGCUAUAAACACUAGUAAAGUACACAUCAAUAAUAUGUAUAUCAAAUAUACCUUUGUUCACUUUGCCAUCCUUCUUAUCCGGCAAGUAUCUAGGGCAGUUCCACUUCCAGUGACCAGUCCUUUUGCAGUAGAAGCACUCAGUCUCAGGCUUAGGUCUAGACUUGGGUUUCUUCUCUUGAGCAGCAACUUGCUUUCUAUUCUUCUUGAAGUUCCCCUUCUUCCCUUUGCCCUUUUUCUUGAAACUAGUGGUCUUGUUAACCAUCAACACUUGAUGCUUUUUCUUGAUUUCUACCUUCGCUGAUUUCAGCAUUGCGAAGAGCUGGGAAUCGUUUUCGUCAUCCCUCGCAUAUUAUAGUUCAUCACGAAGUUCUAGUAACUUGGUGAUAGUGACUAGAGAACUCUGUCAAUCACUAUCUUAUCUGGAAGAUUAACUCCCACUUGAUUCAAGCGAUUGUUGUACCCAGACAUUCUAAGCAUAUGCUCACUAGUUGAGCUAUUCUCCUCCAUCUUGUAGGCAAAGUACUUUGUCAGAGGUCUCAUACCUCUUAACACGGGCAUGAGUCUGAAAUACCAAUUUCAACUCUUGGAACAUCUCAUUUGCUCCAUGUCGUUCAAAACAUUUUUGAAGUCCCGCUUCUAAGCCGUAAAGCAUGGUGCACUAAACUAUCAAGUAGUCGUCAUACCGAGCUUGUCAAACGUUCAUAACGUCAGCAUUUGCUCCUGCAAUAGUUCUGUCACCUAGCGAUGCAUCAAGGACAUAAUUCUUCUAUGCAGCAAUGAGGAUAAUCCUCAGAUCACGGACCUAGUCCGCAUCAUUGCUACUAUCAUCUUUCAAUUUAGUUUUCUCUAGGAACAUAUCAAAAAUAAAACAGGGAAGCUAUACGCGAGCUAUUGAUCUACAACAUAGAUAUGCAAAUACUAUCAGGACUAAGUUCAUGAUAAAUUUAAGUUCAUUUAAUCAUGUUACUUAAGAACUCCCACUUAGAUAGACAUCCCUCUAGUCAUCUAAAUGAUCACGUGAUCCUUAUCAACUAAACCAUGUACGAUCAUCAUGUGAGAUGUAGUAGUUUUCAAUGGUGAACAUCUCUAUGUUGAUCAUAUCUACUAUAUGAUUCACGUUCGACCUUUCGGUCUCAGUGUUCCGAGGCCAUAUCUGCAUAUGCUAGGCUCGUCAAGUUUAACCCGAGUAUUCUACACGUGCAAAACUGGCUUGCACCCGUUGUAUGUGAACGUAGAGCUUAUCACACCCGAUCAUCACUUGGUGUCUCAGCAGGAAGAAUUGUCGCAACGGUGCAUACUCAGGGAGAACACUUAUACCUUGAAAAUUUUAGUAAGGGAUUAUCUCAUAAUGCUACCAUCGUACUAAGCAAAAUAAGAUGCAUAAAAGAUAAACAUCACAUGCAAUCAAAAUAUAUGACAUGAUAUGGCCAUCAUCAUCUUGUGCCUUUGAUCUUCAUCUCCAAAGUACCGUUAUGAUCUCCAUCGUCACCGGCAUGGCACCAUGAUCUCCAUCAUCUUGAUCUCUAUCAACGUGUCGUCACAUGGUUGUCUCGCCAACUAUUGCUUUUGCAACUAUUGCUAUCGCAUAGCGAUAAAGUAAAGCAAUUAUAUGGCGCUUGCAUCUUAUGCAAUAAAGAGACAACCAUAAGGCUCCUGCCAGUUGCCGAUAACUUUAAAAAAA
rnacentral:lncRNA from 1 species